rnacentral:rRNA from 1 species
GACGAACGCUGGCGGCGUGCUUAACACAUGCAAGUCGAACGAAGUGGCGAACGGGUGAGUAACGCGUAAUCAACCUGCCCUUCAGAGGGGGACAACAGUUGGAAACGACUGCUAAUACCGCAUACUGAAGGAGGGGAUUGCGUCUGAUUAGCUAGUUGGAGGGGUAACGGCCCACCAAGCCUUCGAUGGCUAGGGGUUCUGAGAGGAAAGUCCCCCACAUUGGAACUGAGACACGGUCCAACCUCCUACGGGAGGCAGCAGUGGGGAAUAUUGCACAAUGGGCGCAAGCCUGAUGCAGCCAUGCCGCGUGUAUGAAGAAGGCCCUAGGGUUGUAAAGUACUUUCAGUCGGGAGCGUUACCGACAGAAGAAGCACCGGCUAACUCCGUGCCAGCCGCCGCGGUAAUUC